UACGUAGGGGGCAAGCGUUGUCCGGAUUUAUUGGGCGUAAAGAGCGUGUAGGCGGCCAGACAGGUCCGUUGUGAAAACUCGAGGCUCAACCUCGAGACGUCGAUGGAAACCGUCUGGCUAGAGUCCGGAAGAGGAGAGUGGGAAUUCCUGGUGUAGCGGUGAAAUGCGCAGAUAUCAGGAAGAACACCCGUGGCGAAGGCGGCUCUCUGGGACGGUACUGACGCUGAGACGCGAAAGCGUGGGGGAGCGAACAGG
rnacentral:rRNA from 1 species